rnacentral:lncRNA from 1 species
GCCCGAGCGUAGCUGCUAAGCAGCUGCGAGAGCCCUAUUAUUCCCCAAGGGGUUUUUCUUUGUUUCUUUCUUUCUUUCUUUCUUCUUUUUCCUCCCCUUUGAACUGGAAAAUGGCCCACUUCCCACUGGCGAAAACUCAUGAAAUUUGGCAGGACGACCGGGCCUGGUGAAAAAUUUGAUAUUCCGAAGUCGCCCAAACAAGAAAAUGCAAAAUGGCUCCAUAGCGCCCCCUAAGGUGAAAAUUCACACUAUUGACUGUCACGCCUGUACGCUUUGUCAAAAUGACACAAAAAUUGACACACACAUGUAUCUCAAUAAGAUCUACAAAAAAGUCAGUGCGGGCGUAUCUGUCAAAUGUACGGUUAAAGGGUUAUUUCGCAUUUUUUGCCGAUCCGCACACAUUGGAAUUUCGCUAACUCCUCCGAAGGCUUUCGUUCCACCGGCACCACAUUUGCUCGGGCCAAUCUACACCCCAUGGCCAUUAAAAGUUAUUCAAAUCAUGAUGCUGCACCCCACGGUUUAGGUUCUAGGGGGCGCCAAAGAUAACCCUAAGAUCCACAUAUUUAAAAGUCUUAUAACUUUUUAUUUUUGCCCUCACUGGCCUCCAAGUUUUCUAGGAUGAUGCAAUGUCCAGCCAUCAACACAUUUGUGAAGGAAUUUUUACUCCCCAAAAUAGCGCCCCCCUAUGGCAGGAGAAAAAAGUCCAUUUUUUCUUGUCCCCUAAGGUGAAAAUACACAUUGUUGGGUUUAACACCUGUACGCUUUGGCAAAAUGACACAAAAAUUGACACACACAUGUAUCUCAAUAAGAUCUACGAAAAAGUCAAUGCGCGCGUAUCUGUCAAAUGUACGGUGAAAGGGUUAUUCCGCAUUUUUUGCCGAUCCGCACACAUUGGAAUUUCGCUAACUCCUCCGAAGGCUUUCGUUCCACCGGCACCACAUUUGCUCAGGCCAAUCUACACCCCAUGGCCAUUAAAAGUUAUUCAAAUCAUGACGCUGCACCCCACGGUUUAGGUUCUAGGGGGCGCCAAAGAUAACCCUAAAAUCCACAUAUUUAAAAGUCUUAUAACUUUUUAUUUUUGUCCUCACUGGCCUCCAAGUUUUCUAGGAUGAUGCAAUGUCCAGCCAUCAACACAUUUGUGAAGGAAUUUUUACUCCCCAAAAGAGCGCCCCCCCCCAUGGCAGGAGAAAAAAGUCAAUUUUUUCUUGUCCCCUAAGGUGGAAAUUCACACUAUUGACUGUCACGCCUGUACGCUUUAUCAUAUUGACACAAAAAUUGACACACAUAUGUAUCUCAAUAAUAUCUACAAAAAAGUCAAUGCGCGCGUAUCUGUCAAAUGUACGGUUAAAGGGUUAUUCCGCAUUUUUUGCCGAUUCGCACACAUUGGAAUGUGGCUAACUCCUCCUAAGGCUUUCGUCCCACUGACACCAAAUUUGCUCAGGCCAAUCUACACCCCAUGGCCAUUCAAAGUUGUAAAAAUCAUGACGCUGCACCCCACGGUUUACGUUCUAGGGGGCGCCAAAGAUGACCCAAAAAUCCACAUUCUUAAAAGAAUCCACAUCCCCCCCCCCCCCCAAGGCAGGAGAAAAACUCAAGUUAACCCUGCCCAUCGCUCAAUGGCUCAAUCGCAUCGCUCUCCAGGCAACACCGUAAGGAGGAGCAACCUGCCAUUUCGAUAUAUCAUAGCUGUGUUUGUGCCCUCACUCAUGGUCCAGACUUUUUUCAAAUAGGACAUGAAGUUUGUCUGCAGCGAGUGUUUUGGUAGAAACUGCGCCUCCCAUUCAUUAUAAUGGGAAAUGACCACAGACAAGUGCGCACACCAUCUUUGGACCUUGAGUGUGACGCGAUCGGGAGGGGGAGGCGGUCGCGCUGGGGGCGGCGCGACGCGGCUCGGGCCCGACAGUGCCCCACCGGGGCCCUAGUUCUUAUUUUUCCUCCUCUUUGAAGGGGAAAAUGGCCCACUUCCCACUGGCGAAAACUCAUGAAAUUUGGCAGGACGACCAGGCCUGGUGAAAAAUUCGAUAUUUUGAAGUCGCCCAAAUAAUAAAAUGCAAAAUGGCUCCAUAGCGCCCCCUAAGGUGAAAAUUCACACUAUUGACUGUCACGCCUGUACGCUUUGUCAUAUUGACACAAAAAUUGACACACACAUGUAUCUCAAUAAGAUCUACAAAAAAGUCAGUGCGGGAAUAUCUGUCAAAUUUACGGUUAAAGGGUUAUUUCACAUUUUUUGCCGAUCCGCACACAUUGGAAUUUCGCUAACUCCUCCGAAGGCUUUCGUUCCACCGGCACCACAUUUGCUCAGGCCAAUCUACACUCCAUGGCCAUUAAAAGUUGUACAAAUCAUGACGCUGCACCCCACGGUUAAGGUUCUAGAUGGCGCAAAAUAUAACCCAAAAAUCCACAGCCUUGAAAGUCUUAUAACUUUUUAUUUUUUUCCUCACUGGCCUCCAAGUUUUCUAGGAUUAUGCAAUGUCCAGCCAUCAACACAUUUGUGAAGGAAUUUUUACUCCCCAAAAGAGCGCCCCCCCAUGGCAGGAGAAAAAAGUCCAUUUUUUCUUGUCCCCUAAGGUGAAAAUUCACAUUGUUGAGUGUCACGCCUGUACGCUUUGUCAUAUUGACACAAAAUUUGACAAUCACGUGUAUCUGAAUAAGAUCUACGAAAAAGUAAAUUCGCGCAUAUCUGUAAAAUGUACGGUUAAAGGGCUAUUUAGCAUUUUUUGCCGAUUCGCACACAUUGGAAUGUGGCUAACUCCUCCUAAGGUCUUCGUCCCACUGACACCAAAUUUGCUCAGGCCAAUCUACACGCGAUGGCCAUUCAAAGUUGUAAAAAUCAUGACGCUGCACCCCACGGUUUACGUUCUAGGGGGCGCCAAAGAUGACCCAAAAAUCCACAUUCCACACAUUGGAAUGUGGCUAACUCCUCCUAAAGCUUUCGUCCCACCAACACCAAAUUUGCUCAGGCCAAUCUACACCCCAUGGCCUUUCAAAGUUGUACAAAUCAUGACGCUGCACCCCACGGUUUAGGUUCAAGGGGGCGCCAGAGAGGACCCAAAUAUCCACAUUCUUAAAAGUCUUGUAACUUUUUAUUUUUGUCCUCACUGGCCUCCAAGUUUUCUAGGAUGAUGCAAUGUUCAGCCAUCAACACAUUUGUGAAGGAAUUUUUACUCCCCAAAAGAGCGCCCCCCUAUGGCAGUAGAAAAAGUCAAGUUUUUCCUGCCCAUCACUCAAUGGCUCAAACGCAUCGCUCUCUCGGCAAAACCGAAAGGAGGAGCAACUUGCCAUUUGGAUAUAUACUAGCUGUGUUUGUGCCCUCACUCAUGGUCCAGACUUUUUUCAAAAAGGGCCAGGAGUUUGUCUGCAGCGAGCGUUUUGGUAGAAACUGCGCCUCCCAUCCAUUAUAAUGGUAAAUGACCACAGACAAGUGCGCACACCAUCUUUGGACCUUGAGUGUGACGGGAUCGGGAGGGGGAGGCGGUCCCGCUGGGGGUGGCGCAACAUGGCUCGGGCCCGCCAGUGCCCCAACGGGGCCCUAGUUAGGGCCCGAGCGUAGCUGCUAAGCAGCUGCGAGAGCCCUCUUGUUCCUGCAUGUUUCCUUCUUUUGUUAUUAGGGCCCGAGCGUAGCUGCUAAGCAGCUGCGAGAGCCCUCUUGUUCCUGAUGGAUUCUUCUUUCGUUAUUUUUCCUCCGCUUUAAACUGGAAAAUGGCCCACUUCCCACUGGCGAAAACUCAGGAAAUUUGGCAGGACGACCGGGCCUGGUGAAAAAUUCGAUAUUCUGAAGUCGCCCAAACAAAAAAAUGAAAAAUGGCUCCAUAGCGCCCCCUAUGGUGAAAACUCACCUGACGCCUGUACGCUUUGUCAAAAUGACACAAAAAUUGACACACAUGUGUAUCUCAAUAAGAUCUACAAAAAAGUCAGUGCGGGCGUAUCUGUCAAAUGUACCGUUAAAGGGCUAUUUCGCAUUUUUUGCCGAUCCGCACACAUUGGAAUUUCGCUAACUCCUCCGAAGGCUUUCCUUCCACCGGCACCAAAUUUGCUCAGGCCAAUCUACACCCCAUGGCCAUUAAAAGUUGUACAAAUCAUGACGCUGCACCCCACGGUUUAGGUUCUAGGGGGCGCCAAAGAUAACCCAAAAAGCCACAUUCUUAAAAGUCUUAUAACUUUUUAUUUUUGUCCUCACUGGCCUCCAAGUUUUCUAGGAUGAUGCAAUGUCCAGCCAUCAACACAUUUGUGAAGGAAUUUUUACUCCCCAAAAGAGCGCCCCCCCAUGGCAGUAGAAAAAAGUCCAUUUUUUCUUGUCCCCUAAGGUGAAAAUACACAUUGUUGAGUGUCACGCCUAAACGCUUUGUCAUAUUGACACAAAAUUUGACAAUCACGUGUAUCUCAAUAAGAUCUACGAAAAAGUCAAAGAGCGCGUAUCUGUAUAAUGUACGGUAAAAGGGCUAUUUUGCAUUUUUUGCCGAUCCGCACACAUUGGAAUUUCACUAACUCCUCCGAAGGCUUUCAUUCCACCGACACCAAAUUUGCUCAGGCCAAUCUACACCCCAUGGCCAUUAAAAGUUGUACAAAUCAUGAUGCUGCACCCCACGGUUUACGUUCUAGGGGGCGCCAAAGAUGACCCAAAUAUCCACAUUCUUAAAAGUCUUAUAACUUUUUAUUUUUGUCCUCACUGGCCUCCAAGUUUUCUUGGACGAUGCAAUGUCCAGCCAUCAACACAUUUGUGAAGGAAUUUUUACUCCCCAAAAGAGCGCCCCCCAUGGCAGGAGAAAAAAGUCCAUUUUUUCUUGUCCCCUAAGGUGAAAAUACGCACUGUUGAGUGUCACGCCUGUACGCUUUGUCAAAAUGACACAAAAAUUGACACACACAUGUAUCUCAAUAAGAUCUACGAAAAAGUCAAUGCACGCGUAUCUGUCAAAUGUACGGUUAAAGGGUUAUUCCGCAUUUUUUGCUGAUCCGCACACAUUGGAAUGUGGCUAACUCCUCUGAAGGCUUUCGUUCCAUCGGCACCAAAUUUGCUCAGGCCAAUCUACACCCCAUGGCCAUUGAAAGUUAUUCAAAUCAUGACGCUGCACCCCACAGUUUACGUUCUAGGGGGCGCCAAAGAUGACACAAAUAUCCACAUAUUUAAAAGUCUUAUAACUUUUUAUUUUCGUCCUCACUGGCCUCCAAGUUUUCUAGGAUGAUGCAAUGUCCAAAUAUCCACAUUCUUAAAAGAAUCUACAUCCCCCCCCCCAUCCCCCAAGUUUUUCCUGCCCAUCACUCAAUGGCUCAAUCGCAUCGCUCUCCCGGCAACACCGUAAUGAGGAGCAACUUGCCGUUUGGAUAUAUCCUAGCUGUGUUUGUGCCCUCACUCAUGGUCCAGACUUUUUUCAAAUAGGACAUGUAGUUUGUCUGCAGCGAGUGUUUUGGUAGAAACUGCGCCUCCCAUUCAUUAUAAUGGGAAAUGACCACAGACAAGUGCGCACACCAUCUUUGGACCUUGAGUGUGACGCGAUCGGGAGGGGGAGGCGGUCGCGCUGGGGGCGGCUCGACGCGGCUCGGGCCCGACAGUGCCCCACCGGGGCCCUAGUUAUUAUUAUUAUUUUUCCUCCCCUUUGAACUGGAAAAUGGCCCACUUCCCACUGGCGAAAACUCAUGAAAUUUGGCAGGACUACCGGGCCUGGUGAAAAAUUUGAUAUUCCGAAGUCGCCCAAACAAGAAAAUGCAAAAUGGCUCCAUAGCGCCCCCUAAGGUGAAAAUUCACACUAUUGACUGUCACGCCUGUACGCUUUGUCAAAAUGACACAAAAAUUGACACACACAUGUAUCUCAAUAAGAUCUACAAAAAAGUCAAUGCGCGCGUAUCUGUCAAAUGUACGGUUAAAGGGUUAUUUCGCAUUUUUUGCCGAUCCGCACACAUCGGAAUUUCGCUAACUCCUCCGAAGGCUUUCGUUCCACCGGCACCACAUUUGCUCAGGCCAAUCUACACCCCAUGGCCAUUUAAAGUUAUUCAAAUCAUGACGCUGCACCCCACGGUUUAGGUUCUAGGGGGCGCCAAAGAUAACCCUAAGAUCCACAUAUUUAAAAGUCUUAUAACUUUUUAUUUUUGCCCUCACUGGCCUCCAAGUUUUCUAGGAUGAUGCAAUGUCCAGCCAUCAACACAUUUGUGAAGGAAUUUUUACUCGCCAAAAGAGCGCCCCCCCCCCCCAUGGCAGGAGAAAAAAGUCCAUUUUUUCUUGUCCCCUAAGGUGAAAAUACACAUUGUUGAGUGUCACGCCUGUACGCUUUGGCAAAAUGACACAAAAAUUGACACACACAUGUAUCUCAAUAAGAUCUACAAAAAAGUCAGUGCGGGCGUAUCUGUCAAAUGUACGGUUAAAGGGUUAUUGCGCAUUUUUUGCCGAUCCGCACACAUUGGAAUUUCGCUAACUCCUCCGAAGGCUUUCGUUCCACCGGCACCACAUUUGCUCAGGCCAAUCUACACCCCAUGGCCAUUAAAAGUUAUUCAAAUCAUGACGCUGCACCCCACGGUUUAGGUUCUAGGGGGCGCCAAAGAUAACCCUAAAAUCCACAUAUUUCAAAGUCUUAUAACUUUUUAUUUUUGCCCUCACUGGCCUCCAAGUUUUCUAGGAUGAUGCAAUGUCCAGCCAUCAACACAUUUGUGAAGGAAUUUUUACUCCCCAAAAGAGCGCCCCCCCAUGGCAGGAGAAAAAAGUCCAUUUUUUCUUGUCCCCUAAGGUGAAAAUACGCACUGUUGAGUGUCACGCCUGUACGCUUUGUCAAAAUGACACAAAAAUUGACACACACAUGUAUCUCAAUAAGAUCUACGAAAAAGUCAAUGCACGCGUAUCUGUCAAAUGUACGGUUAAAGGGUUAUUCCGCAUUUUUUGCUGAUCCGCACACAUUGGAAUGUGGCUAACUCCUCUGAAGGCUUUCGUUCCAUCGGCACCAAAUUUGCUCAGGCCAAUCUACACCCCAUGGCCAUUGAAAGUUAUUCAAAUCAUGACGCUGCACCCCACAGUUUACGUUCUAGGGGGCGCCAAAGAUGACACAAAUAUCCACAUAUUUAAAAGUCUUAUAACUUUUUAUUUUCGUCCUCACUGGCCUCCAAGUUUUCUAGGAUGAUGCAAUGUCCAAAUAUCCACAUUCUUAAAAGAAUCUACAUCCCCCCCCCCCCAUCCCCCAAGUUUUUCCUGCCCAUCACUCAAUGGCUCAAUCGCAUCGCUCUCCCGGCAACACCGUAAUGAGGAGCAACUUGCCGUUUGGAUAUAUCCUAGCUGUGUUUGUGCCCUCACUCAUGGUCCAGACUUUUUUCAAAUAGGACAUGUAGUUUGUCUGCAGCGAGUGUUUUGGUAGAAACUGCGCCUCCCAUUCAUUAUAAUGGGAAAUGACCACAGACAAGUGCGCACACCAUCUUUGGACCUUGUGUGUGACGCGAUCGGGAGGGGGAGGCGGUCGCGCUGGGGGCGGCUCGACGCGGCUCGGGCCCGACAGUGCCCCACCGGGGCCCUAGUUAUUAUUAUUAUUUUUCCUCCCCUUUGAACUGGAAAAUGGCCCACUUCCCACUGGCGAAAACUCAUGAAAUUUGGCAGGACUACCGGGCCUGGUGAAAAAUUUGAUAUUCCGAAGUCGCCCAAACAAGAAAAUGCAAAAUGGCUCCAUAGCGCCCCCUAAGGUGAAAAUUCACACUAUUGACUGUCACGCCUGUACGCUUUGUCAAAAUGACACAAAAAUUGACACACACAUGUAUCUCAAUAAGAUCUACAAAAAAGUCAAUGCGCGCGUAUCUGUCAAAUGUACGGUUAAAGGGUUAUUUCGCAUUUUUUGCCGAUCCGCACACAUCGGAAUUUCGCUAACUCCUCCGAAGGCUUUCGUUCCACCGGCACCACAUUUGCUCAGGCCAAUCUACACCCCAUGGCCAUUUAAAGUUAUUCAAAUCAUGACGCUGCACCCCACGGUUUAGGUUCUAGGGGGCGCCAAAGAUAACCCUAAGAUCCACAUAUUUAAAAGUCUUAUAACUUUUUAUUUUUGCCCUCACUGGCCUCCAAGUUUUCUAGGAUGAUGCAAUGUCCAGCCAUCAACACAUUUGUGAAGGAAUUUUUACUCCCCAAAAGAGCGCCCCCCCAUGGCAGGAGAAAAAAGUCCAUUUUUUCUUGUCCCCUAAGGUGAAAAUACACAUUGUUGAGUGUAACACCUGUACGCUUUGGCAAAAUGACACCAAAAUUGAGACACACAUGUAUCUCAAUAAGAUCUACAAAAAAGUCAAUGCGCACGUAUCUGUCAAAUGUACGGUUAAAGGGUUAUUCCGCAUUUUUUGCCGAUCCGCACACAUUGGAAUUUCGCUAACUCCUCCGAAGGCUUUCGUUCCACCGGCACCACAUUUUCUCAGGCCAAUCUACACCCCAUGGCCAUUAAAAGUUAUUCAAAUCAUGACGCUGCACCCCACGGUUUAGGUUCUAGGGGGCGCCAAAGAUAACCGUAAAAUCCACAUAUUUAAAAGUCUUAUAACUUUUUAUUUUUGUCCCCACUGGCCUCCAAGUUUUCUAGGAUGAUGCAAUGUCCAGCCAUCAACACAUUUGUGAAGGAAUUUUUACUCGCCAAAAGAGCGCCCCCCCAUGGCAGGAGAAAAAAGUCCAUUUUUUCUUGUCCACUAAGGUGAAAAUACACAUUGUUGAGUGCUACGCCUGUAUGUUUUGUCGUAUUGACACAAAAUUUUACAUACACGUGUCUUUCAAUAAGAUCUUCGAAAAAGUCAAUGGCCACGUAUCUGUAAAAUGUACGGUUAAAGGGUUAUUUCGCAUUUUUUGCAGAUUCGCACACAUUGGAAUUUCGCUAACUCCUCCGAAGGCUUUCGUUCCACCGGCACCACAUUUGCUCAGGCCAAUCUACACCCCAUGGCCAUUAAAAGUUAUUCAAAUCAUGACGCUGCACCCCACGGUUUAGGUUCUAGGGGGCGCCAAAUAUAACCCUAAAAUCCACAUAUUUAAAAGUCUUAUAACUUUUUAUUUUUGUCCUCACUGGCCUCCAUGUUUUCUAGGAUGAUGCAAUGUCCAGCCAUCAACACAUUUGUGAAGGAGUUUUUUCUCGUUAAAAGAGCGCCCCCCAUGGCAGGAGAAUAAAGUCAAGUUUUUCCUGUUCAUCAUUCAAUGGCUCAAACGCACUGCUCUCUCGGCAAAAGCGAAAGGAGGAGCAACUUGCCAUUUGGAUAUAUCUUAGCUGUGUUUGUGCCCUCACUCAUGGUCCAGACUUUUUUCAAAUAGGACAUGGAGUUUUUCUGCAGCGAGCGUUUUGGUAGAAACUGCGCCUCCCGUUCAUUAUAAUGGUAAAUGACCACAAACAAGUGCGCACACCAUCUUUGGACCUUGAGUGUGACGCGAUCGGGUGGGGGAGGCGGUCGCGCUGGGGGCGGCGUGACACGGCUCGGGCCCGCCAGUGCCCCAACGGGGCCCUAGUUAUUAUUUUUCCUCCCCUUUGAACUGGAAAAUGGCCCACUUCCCACUGGCGAAAACUCAUGAAAUUUGGCAGGACGACCGGGCCUGGUGAAAAAUUUGAUAUUCCGAAGUCGCCCAAACAAGAAAAUGAGAAAAUGGCUCCAUAGCGCCCCCUAAGGUGAAAAUUCACACUAUUGACUGUCACGCGUGUACGCUUUGUCCAAAUGACACAAAAAUUGACACACACAUGUAUCUCAAUAAGAUCUACAAAAAAGUCAGUGCGGGCGUAUCUGUCAAAUGUACGGUUAAAGGGUUAUUUCGCAUUUUUUGCCGUUCCGCACACAUUGGAAUUUCGCUAACUCCUCCGAAGGCUUUCGUUCCACCGGCACCACAUUUGCUCAGGCCAAUCUACACCCCAUGGCCAUUAAAAGUUAUUCAAAUCAUGACGCUGCACCCCACGGUUUAGGUUCUAGGGGGCGCCAAAGAUAACCCUAAGAUCCACAUAUUUAAAAGUCUUAUAACUUUUUAUUUUUGCCCUCACUGGCCUCCAAGUUUUCUAGGAUGAUGCAAUGUCCAGCCAUCAACACAUUUGUGAAGGAAUUUUUACUCCCCAAAAGAGCGCCCCCCCAUGGUAGGAGAAAAAAGUCCAUUUUUUCUUGUCCCCUAAGGUAAAAAUACACAUUGUUGAGUGUCACGCCUGAACGCUUUGUCAUAUUGACACAAAAAUUGACAAUUAUGUGUAUCUCAAUUAGAUCUACGAAAAAGUCAAAGAGCGCGCAUCUGUAUAAUGUACGGUUAAAGGGCUAUUUUGCAUUUUUUGCCGAUUCGCACACAUUGGAAUGUGGCUAUCUCCUCCUAAGGCUUUCGUCCCACCGAUACCAAAUUUGCUCAGGGCAAUCUACACCCCAUGCCCAUUCAAAGUUGUAAAAAUCAUGACGCUGCACCCCACGGUUUACGUUCUAGGGGGCGCCAAAGAUGACCCAAAAAUCCACAUUCUUAAAAGUCAUUUUGGCCACUGCAGGAGUACAGAGUACUGCAGUUCUAGGGGGCGCCAAAGAUGACCCAAAAAUCCACAUUCUUAAAAGUCUUUUUGGCCACUGCAGGAGUACAGAGUACUGCAGGAUACACACACAUAUACACACACGCCAACAUACACACACACACACACACACACACACACACACACACACACACACACACAUACACACACACACACACUCAGAGUCUGUUUUUUAGCACCUGCAAAAACAUGCUGUUUACAUAUUUGACAAGAAUGCAGAGGCUUUCUUUUGCCCCUGAAAAAAAUCAAAUUUCAAACACAACUUGACUGUUCAUUUCUCCAAAAGACAACCAUGAAGCUCCAUUUCAAACCUGAAGCAGAUAGUUGGUGCAUGUGUACAGUAACCUGAGGGGAGUGAGGUGACUAUUUCUGAGGAGAACAUGAGCAGUGAAGAUUCACCUUGGAGCUAGAACAGGGACGUGCACAUGAUUAUACAGGGGCAGGGGCUCAAGUUUUUUCCAGUCAUUUAUACAAUAUGGAAAUUAAUGUGAAAUUAAACCACAAAUAUGUGUGAUGAACUGUUUUUAAAACUUAAACUUCAAAUAAAAAUUGUAAACUUCAAAACAUAUGCAAAUUUUUAACAAAGAACAUAGUAAUUUACCUCUAUUUACAUCAAAAUGCAGGCAAUGGCCCAGGCGUUCUUUGUAAAAUUAUUUACAAAACACUGUAUAGUCUCACAAAUGUCACUUUUUAUUUAUGCCACUACAAAAAAACAUGAUGUAAAUGAUGCAUGAUGUAAAACAUGAUGUAAAAAACUUGUGUAGAUCCUCCUCUAUGUCAGUCCAUGUGUAAUUUUUCCAUAAUUCUUUGUUUUUUGCAGCAUUUUUGUUCGUGUAACUGCAGAUUGUGCUGACAGUGUCUAUGGCACAAAAAAAAAAAUAAGUUAAAUGCCUCGUCAGGAACCCCUGGUGGUCUCUGAGGGUGAAACCUGCUAACUGCUGCAGCUCUGUCAGCUUCAGUCUCCCAUGCAGAGCUCUGAGCGCAUGUGUGGCUCUGCACCCUUAGCAGCGUUGCUAACUCCUCAGUAAGGAAAGCCUGCUUCAUGUCAGAGUCUCUAAACUCCAGAAGAAGUCGAUAAAAGUCCCUUUCUUUCUAAAAAAAAGUCGUUAGGGUGUCUGAAAAGUCAUUGAAUCUAACAACAAAGUCGCUAGGUUUGCAACUACGUGUCCCAGACUGCAUCCCUGCUGAGAGUCCCUCCCUCCCUUCUCAUGUUGCAGGAAGAACGUAAGCGCCCGCCCCUUGUCAAUCAGUCACCAUAUAAUUUUGGAUUGGUUGUUGUGGUGAAGUUUUCCACCAAUAGGAGAGAUGUUGUGGUGUGUUUUUUUUUUCUUUUGGCAAGCCUUUUCCGCCUGUAAGACCUGUCGCUAAUGUCUGCAUGGUAUGUUUUCCUGUCUCAUACAGCGCGAUCGAGCGCCGAACGUGAUCAAAAUAAGCAGAAAAAAAGUAUCGCGGACAUAAUUUAUCAUAACUCUGGUUUUAUUUGGCCUAUCAACACAAUUUAAAAACUGGUAUAUAGGUUGAGGUCCUCACUUUUGAGAUAAGUUGAAACGGAGAGUCAACGAGGCUCCGUCUUGCAGCUACAUCCGGUUAAAUAUGUCAUGUGACUUGAACGCACACACAGACACACACACACGCACACACACACACACACACACACACACACUCAGAGUCUGGUUUUUAGCACCUGCAAAAACAUGCUAUUUACAUAUUUGACAAGAAUGCAGAGGCUCCUUUUGCCCCUGAAAAAAAUCAAAUUUCAAACACAACUUGACUGGUCAUUUCUCCAAAAGACAACCAUGAAGCUCCAUCCAAACCUGAAGCAGGCAGUUGGUGCAUGUGUACAGUAACCUGAGGGGAGUGAGGUGAGUGCUUCUGAGGAGAACAUGAGCAGUGAAGAUUCACCUUGGAGCUAGAACAGAGACAUGCACAUGAUUAUACAGGGGCAGGGGCUCAAGUUUUUUCCAGUCGUUUAUACAAUAUGGAAAUUAAUGUGAAAUUAAAACACAAAGUAUUAAUAGAAAGGUAAUGACUGUCCUGUGUAGGUGACAGUGAUAUCCAAUAGGCUAGGCACUCACGAGGCUGGCUGUGGCAAGUGUAAGUGAAAGCAACACGCACUGGCAGGAAGAACAGCAAACGCCGAUGAAGGAAAAGGGUCUUUGCAGUGAUGGGCGUUAACAGAGAGGGCGAUGGCCAGAGGACACAAAUGGGACGGGGAGGCAGCACGUUGGGGGGGGGGGGGGGGGAGAGACGCGACACGGCUCGGGCCCGCCAGUGCCCCAACGGGGUCCUAGUUAGGGCCCGAGCCAGCUGCAGAGCAGCCGGGCGUAGGCCCUAUUAUUCCCCAAGUGGUUUUUCUUUGUUUCUUUCUUUAGGGCCCGAGCGUAGCUGCUAAGCAGCUGCGAGAGCCCUCUUGUUCCUGCAUGUUUCCUUCUUUUUAGGGCCCGAGCGUAGCUGCUAAGCAGCUGCGAGAGCCCUCUUGUUCCUGCAUGUUUCCUUCUUUAGGGCCCGAGCGUAGCUGCUAAGCAGCUGCGAGAGCCCUAUUAUUCCCCAAGUGGUUUUUCUUUGUUUCUUUCUUUCUUUCUUCUUUUUCCUCCCCUUUGAACUGGAAAAUGGCCCACUUCCCACUGGCGAAAACUCAUGAAAUUUGGCAGGACGACCGGGCCUGGUGAAAAAUUCGAUAUUCUGAAGUCGCCCAAACAAUAAAAUGCAAAAUGGCUCCAUAGCGCCCCCUAAGGUGGAAAUUCACACUAUUGACUGUCACGCCUGUACGCUUUGUCAUAUUGACACAAAAAUUGACACACAUAUGUAUCUCAAUAAGAUCUACAAAAAAGUCAGUGCGGCCGUAUCUGUCAAAAUUACGGUUAAAGGGUUAUUUCGCAUUUUUUGCCGAUCCGCACACAUUGGAAUUUCGCUAACUUCUCCGAAGGCUUUCGUUCCACCGGCACCACAUUUGCUCAGGCCAAUCUACACCCCGUGGCCAUUAAAAGUUAUCAAAAUCAUGACGCUUCACCACAAGGUUUAGGUUCUAGGGGGCGCCAAAGAUAACACUAAAAUCCACAUAUUUAAAAGUCUUAUAACUUUUUAUUUUUGUCCUCACUGGCCUCCAAGUUUUCUAGGAUGAUGCAAUGUCCAGCCAUCAACACAUUUGUGAAGGAAUUUUUACUCCCCAAAAGAGCGCCCCCCAUGGCAAGAGAAAAAAGUCAAUUUUUUCUUGUCCCCUAAGGUGAAAAUACACAUUGUUGAGUGUCACGCCUAUACGCUUUGUCAAAAUGACACAAAAAUUGACACACACAUGUAACUCAAUAAGAUCUACGAAAAAGUCAAUGCGCGCGUAUCUGUCAAAUGUACGGUUAAAGGGUUAUUCCGCAUUUUUUGCCGAUCCGCACACAUUGGAAUGUGGCUAACUCCUCCUAAGGCUUUCGUUCCACCGGCACCACAUUUGCUCAGGCCAAUCUACACCCCAUGGCCAUUAGAAGUUAUCAAAAUCAUGACGCUGCACCCCAAGGUUUAGGUUCUAGGGGGCGCCAAAGAUAACACUAAAAUCCACAUAUUUAAAAGUCUUAUAACUUUUUAUUUUUGUCCUCACUGGCCUCCAAGUUUUCUAGGAUGAUGCAAUGUCCAGCCAUCAACACAUCUGUGAAGGAAUUUUUACUCGCCAAAAGAGCGCCCCCCCCCAUGGCAGGAGAAAAAAGUCCAUUUUUUCUUGUCCCCUAAGGUGAAAAUACACAUUGUUGAGUGUCACGCCUGUACGCUUUGGCAAAAUGACACAAAAAUUGACACACACAUGUAUCUCAAUAAGAUCUACAAAAAAGUCAGUGCGGGCGUAUCUGUCAAAUGUACGGUUAAAGGGUUAUUGCGCAUUUUUUGCCGAUCCGCACACAUUGGAAUUUCGCUAACUCCUCCGAAGGCUUUCGUUCCACCGGCACCACAUUUGCUCAGGCCAAUCUACACCCCAUGGCCAUUAAAAGUUAUUCAAAUCAUGAUGCUGCACCCCAUGGUUUAGGUUCUAGGGGGCGCCAAAAAUAACCCAAAAAUCCACAUUCUUAAAUGUUUUAACUUUUUUUUUUUGUCCUCACUGGCCUCCAAGUUUUCUAGGAUGAUGCAAUGUCCAGCCAUCAACACAUUUGUGAAGGAAUUUUUACUCCCCAAAAGAGCGCCCCCCAUGGUAGGAGAAAAAAGUCAAUUUUUUCUUGUCCCCUUACAUGAAAAUACACAUUGUUGAGUGUCACGCCUGAACGCUAUGUCAUAUUGACACAAAAAUUGACAAUCAUGUGUAUCUCAAUUAGAUCUACGAAAAAGUCAAAGAGCGCGUAUCUGUAUAAUGUACGGUUAAAGGGCUAUUUUGCAUUUUUUGCCGAUUCGCACACAUUGGAAUGUGGCUAACUCCUCCUAAAUCUUUUGUCCCAUCGGCUUCAAAUUUGCUCAGGUCAAUCUACACCCUAUGGCCAUUCAAAGUUGUACAAAUCAUGACGCUGCACCCCACAGUUUACGUUCUAGGGGGCGCCAAAGAGGACCCAAAUAUCCACAUUUUUAAAAGUCUUAUAACUUUUUAUUUUUGUCCUCACUGGCCUCCAAGUUUUCUAGGAUGAUGCAAUGUCCAGCCAUCAACACAUUUGUGAAGGAAUUUUUCUCCCCAAAAGAGCGCCCCCCAUGGCAGGAGAAAAAGUCAAGUUUUUCCUGCCCAUCGCUCAAUGGCUCAAACGCAUCGCUCUCUCGGCAAAACCGAAAGGAGGAGCAACUUGCCAUUUGGAUAUAUACUAGCUGUGUUUGUGCCCUCACUCAUGGUCCAGACUUUUUUCAAAAAGGACAUGGAGUUUGUCUGCAGCGAGCGUUUUGGUAGAAACUGCGCCUCCCAUUCAUUAUAAUGGUAAAUGACCACUGACAAGUGCGCACACCAUCUUUGGACCUUGAGUGUGACGCGAUCGGGAGGGGUAGGCGGUCGCGCUGGGGGCGGCGCGACACGGCUCGGGCCCGCCAGUGCCCCAACGGGGCCCUAGUUUGUUAUUAGGGCCCGAGCGUAGCUGCUAAGCAGCUGCGAGAGCCCUAUUAUUCCCCAAGUGGUUUUUUAGGGCCCGAGCCAGCUGCAGAGCAGCCGGGCGUAGAGCCCUAUUAUUCCUGUAUAGGUUUUUCUUUCUUCUUUCUUUCUUUCUUUCUUUCUUCUUAUUUUUCCUCCCCUUUGAAGGGGAAAAUGGCCCACUUCCCACUGGCGAAAACUCAGGAAAUUUGGCAGGACGACCGGGCCCGGUGAAAAAUUCGAUAUUCUGAAGUCGCCCAAACAAUAAAAUGCAAAAUGGCUCCAUAGCGCCCCCUAAGGCGAAAAUUCACACUAUUGACUGUCACGCCUGUACGCUUUGUCAUUUUGACACAAAAAUUGACACACACGUGUAUCUCAAUACGGUCUACGAAAAAGUCAGCGCGGGCGCAUCUGUGAAAUGUACGGUUAGAGGGUUAUUUCGCAUUUUUUGCCGAUCUGCACACAUUGGAAUUUCGCUAACUCCUCCGAAGGCUUUCGUUCCACCGGCACCACAUUUGCUCAGGCCAAUCUACACCCCAUGGCCAUUAAAAGUUGUACAAAUCAUGACGCUGCACCCCACGGUUUACGUUCUAGGGGGCGCCAAAGAUAACCCAAAAAUCCACAGUCUUAAAAGUCUUAUAACUUUUUAUUUUUGUCCUCACUGGCCUCCAAGUUUUCUAGGAUGAUGCAAUGUCCAGCCAUCAACACAUUUGUGAAGGAAUUUUUACUCACGAAAAGAGCGCCCCCCCAUGGCAGGAGAAAAAAGUCCAUUUUUUCUUGUCCCCUAAGGUGAAAAAACACAUUGUUGACUGUCACGCCUAUACGCUUUGUCAAAAUGAUACAAAAUUUGACACACACGUGUAUCUCAAUAAGAUCUACGAAAAAGUCAAUGUGCACGUAUCUGUAAAAUGUACGGUUAAAGGGUUAUUUCGCAUUUUUUCCCGAUCCGCACACAUUGGAAUUUCGCUAACUCCUCCGAAGGCUUUCGUUCCACCGGCACCACAUUUGCUCAGGCCAAUCUACACCCCAUGGCCAUUAAAAGUUGUACAAAUCAUGACGCUGCACCCCACGGUUUACGUUCUAGGGGGCGCCAAAGAUAACCCAAAAAUCCACAGUCUUAAAAGUCUUAUAACUUUUUAUUUUUGUCCUCACUGGCCUCCAAGUUUUCUAGGAUGAUGCAAUGUCCAGCCAUCAACACAUUUGUGAAGGAAUUUUUACUCACGAAAAGAGCGCCCCCCCAUGGCAGGAGAAAAAAGUCCAUUUUUUCUUGUCCCCUAAGGUGAAAAAACACAUUGUUGACUGUCACGCCUAUACGCUUUGUCAAAAUGAUACAAAAUUUGACACACACGUGUAUCUCAAUAAGAUCUACGAAAAAGUCAAUGUGCACGUAUCUGUAAAAUGUACGGUUAAAGGGUUAUUUCGCAUUUUUUCCCGAUCCGCACACAUUGGAAUUUCGCUAACUCCUCCGAAGGCUUUAGUUCCACCGCCACCAAAUUUGCUCAGGCCAAUCUACACCCCAUGGCCAUUAAAAGUUGUAAAAAUCAUGACGCUGCACUCCACGGUUUAGGUUCUAGGGGGCGCCAAAGAUAACCCAAAGAUCCACAUUCUUAAUAGUCUUAUAACUUUUUAUUUUUGUCCUCACUGGCCUCCAAGUUUUCUAGGAUGAUGCAAUGUCCAGCCAUCAACACAUUUGUAAAGGAAUUUUUACUCCCGAAAAGGGCGCCCCCCCAUGGCAGGAGAAAAAAGUCCAUUUUUUCUUGUCCCCUAAG